rnacentral:rRNA from 1 species
AAUAUUGCACAAUGGGCGCAAGCCUGAUGCAGCCAUGCCGCGUGUAUGAAGAAGGCCUUCGGGUUGUAAAGUACUUUCAGCAGUGAGGAAGGUGGGUAUGUUAAUAGCAUACUCAUUUGACGUUAGCUGCAGAAGAAGCACCGGCUAACUCCGUGCCAGCAGCCGCGGUAAUACGGAGGGUGCGAGCGUUAAUCGGAAUUACUGGGCGUAAAGCGCAUGCAGGUGGUUUGUUAAGUCAGAUGUGAAAGCCCGGGGCGUCAACCUCGGAAUUGCAUUUGAAACUGGCAAACUAGAGUACUGUAGAGGGGGGUAGGAAUUUCAGGUGUAGCGGUGAAAUGCGUAGAGAUCUGAAGGAAUACCGGUGGCGAAGGCGGCCCCCUGGACAGAUACUGACACUCAGAUGCGAAAGCGUGGGGAGCAAACAGGAUUAGAUACCCUGGUAG